rnacentral:rRNA from 1 species
GACGUAGGGCGCGAGCGUUGUCCGGAUUUAUUGGGCGUAAAGAGCUCGUAGGCGGCUUGUCGCGUCGGCUGUGAAAACCCGCGGCUCAACUGUGGGCGGGCAGCUGAUACGGGCAGGCUGGAGUUCGGUAGGGGAGACUGGAAUUCCUGGUGUAGCGGUGAAAUGCGCAGAUAUCAGGAGGAACACCGGUGGCGAAGGCGGGUCUCUGGGCCGAUACUGACGUGAGGAGCGAAAAGCGUGGGGGAGCGAACAGG